rnacentral:rRNA from 1 species
AGUAGCAUAUGCUUGUCUCAAAAGAUUAAGCCAUGCAUGUGUAAGUAAUGAACUAAUCAACUGUGAAACUGCGAAUGGCUCAUUAAAUCAAGUUAUAGUUGUUUAAUGGUAUCUGCUACUCGAUAACCGUAGUAAUUCUAGAGCUAAGACGUGCAACAAACCCCGACUUCUGGAAGGGGAUGCAUUAAUUAGAUAAAAGGUCGACGCGGGCUCUGCCCGUUGCUCUGAUGAUCAUGAUAACUCGACGGAUCGCACGGCCAUACGUGGCCGUUGCGACUGGCAUCAUUCAAAUUUGCUGGCCCUAGUCAACUUUCGAUGGUAAGGAUAGAGGCCUACAUGGGUGGUGACGGGUGACCAGGGAAUAGGGUUCGAUUCCGGAGAGGGACCUGAGAAACCGGCUACCACAUCCAAGGAAGGCAGCAGGCGCCAAAAAAGUUAACCGCAUCCUGACACGGGGAAGGUAGUGACAAUAAAUAACAAUACCGGGCUCUUCGCGUCUGUAAUUGGAAUAGUACAAUCUAAAUCCCUUAACGGGGAAUGCCAUUGGAGGGCAAGUCUGGUGCCAGCAGCCCGCGGUAAUUCCCAUCAGCUCCAAUAGCGUAAUAUUUAAGUUGUUCAGUUAAAAAGCUCGUAGUGGACCUAUGGGUUGGUUCGACCGGUCCGCCUCGCGUGGUGGAACCUGUCGGCUCGUCCUAUCUGGGCCGGCGAUGCCGCUCCUGGCCUUAACUGGCGCGGGUCGGUGCCAUCCGGCGCUGUACUUUGAAAGAAAUUAGAGUGCUCAAAGCAAGCCUACGCUCUGGAUACAUUAGCAAUUGGGAUUAACAUAUAGGAUUUCAGGUCCUAUUGUGUUUUGGCCUUCGGGACGAGUAAUGAAUUAACAGGGACAGUCGGGGCAAUUCGUAUUCAUAGUCAGAGGUGAAAUUCUUGGAUUUAUGAAAGACGAACAACUGCGAAAAGCAUUUGCCAAGGAUUUUUCAUUAAUCAAGAACGAAAGUUGGGGGCUCGAAGACGAUCAGAUACCGUCCUAGUCUCACAUAAAAACGAUGCCGACCAAGGGAGUCGGCGGAUGUUGGCCUUUAGGACUCCCCGGCACCUUAUGAAGAAUCAAAAGUCUUUGGGUUCCGGGGGGUAGUAAUGGUCGCAGGCUGAAACUUAAAAGGAAUUGACGGAAGGGCAACCACCAGGAGUGGAGCCUGCGGCUUAAUUUGACUUCAACAGGGAAACUUACCAGGUCCAGACAGUAGUAAGGAUCUGACAGACUGAGAGCUCUUUCUUGAGUUCUAUGGGUGGUGGUGCAUGCCGUUUCUUAGUUGGUGGAGCGAUUUGUCUGGUUAAUUCCCGUUAACGAACGAGACCUCAGCCUGCCAUAACUAGCUAUGCGUAGGCGUGAACCUCCGCGGCCAGCUUCUUAGAGGGACUAUGGCCUUUUAGGCCAAGGAGUUGAGGCAAUAACAGGUCUGUGAUUGCCUUAGAUUGUUUGGGCCGCACGCGCGCUACACUGAUUGUAUUCACGAAGUCUUAGCCUUGGCCGGACAGGCCCGGGUAAUCCUUUGAAUUUCAUCGUGAUGGGCGAUAGAUUCAUUGCAAUUGUUGGCUUCCAACGAGGAAUUCCUAGUAAAGCGCGAGUCUCAGCGCGUUGACUACGUCCCUGCCCUUUGUACACACCGGGCUCGCUCCUAAACCGAUUGAAUGGUCCGGUGAAGUGUUCGGAUCGCGGUCGACGGGGCCGGUUCGCCGCCUGGCAGACGUCCGCGAGAAGUCACUGAACCUUAUCAUUUAGAGGAAGGAGAAGUUCGUAAACAAGGUUUCCGUAGGUGAACCUGCGGGAA